rnacentral:tRNA from 1 species
CGGACAGAUGCUUGGUGGUUUAAGCGUCUAGCUGUUAAUUAGAAAUUCGUAGGAUCGAAGCCUUCCUGUCCAG